rnacentral:rRNA from 1 species
AUGUGGCCUGGGGACUGACGGGUUCCCCGGUUAAAGGCGUAGGUCGCUAAGAGAGCAGCCCGCUCCCGAUUAGCUUGUUGGUGGGGUAACGGCUUACCAAGGCUACGAUCGGUAGGUGGUCUGAGAGGAUGGUCACCCACACUGGGACUGAGAUACGGCCCAGACUCCUACGGGGGGCAGCAGUCUAGAGGCUUCGGCAAUGGGGGCAACCCUGACCGAGCGACGCCGCGUGCGGGAUGAAGGUCGUAAGAUUGUAAACCGCUGUCAGCAGGGAAGAAUGCCCGGAUGGCGAAUCCGGGAGUGACGGUACCUGCGAAGGAAGCCCCGGCUAACUCCGUGCCAGCAGCCGCGGUAAUACGGAGGGGGCAAACGUUGUUCGGAAUUACUGGGCGUAAAGGGU